UGCGGUGAUUAUCGCGAAAGGGUUCCACCCGUUCCCAUCCCGAACACGGUAGUUAAGCCUUUCAGCUCCGACGAUACUUGGCGGGCAGCUGCCUGGGAAAAUAGGACAUUGCCGCUCCACCUGUCCACACGGGCGGUUCUUCUUUUCUCUCUCUCAAGCUACCUGCUCUCUGCUUGCUUCCCUCCAUCCUUGCUUACUUUUCCCGCUCAUUCGGCUCUGGAUACAAGAAGCGAACCCUUUUACGCUUCGCUUCCU
rnacentral:rRNA from 1 species